AUUGAACGCUGGCGGCAGGCUUAACACAUGCAAGUCGAACGGUAGCACAGAGAGCUUGCUCCCGGGUGACGAUUGGCGGACGGGUGAGUAAUGUCUGUGAAACGGCCCGAUGGAGGGGGAUAACUACUGGAAACGGUAGCUAAUACCGCAUAACGUCGCAAGACCAAAGUGGGGGACCUUCGGGCCUCACACCAUCGGGUGUGCCCAGAUGGGAUUAGCUAGUAGGUGGUGUAUGGGGCACCUAGGCGACGAUCCCUAGCUGGUCUGAGAGGGUGCCCAGCCACCCUGGAACUGAGACACGGGCGAAACUCCUACGGAGGGCAGCAGUUGGGAAGAUUGGACAAUGGGCGGAAGCCUGAGGCAGACAUGCUGCGUGUAUGAAGAAGGCCUUCGGGUUGUAAAGUACUUUCAGCGGGGAGGAAGGCGGUGAAGUUAAUAACUUCACCGAUUGACGUUACCCGCAGAAGAAGCACCGGAUAACUCCGUGCCAGCCGCCGCAGUAA
rnacentral:rRNA from 1 species